rnacentral:rRNA from 1 species
GAUGAACGCUAGCUCCAGGCUUAACACAUGCAAGUCGAGGGGAAACGACAUCGAAAGCUUGCUUUUGAUGGGCGUCGACCGGCGCACGGGUGAGUAACGCGUAUCCAACCUGCCCAUCACUUGGGAAUAACCUUGCGAAAGUAAGACUAAUACCCAAUGACAUCCCACGAAGACAUCUGAAUGGGAUUAAAGAUUUAUCGGUGAUGGAUGGGGAUGCGUCUGAUUAGCUUGUUGGCGGGGUAACGGCCCACCAAGGCAACGAUCAGUAGGGGUUCUGAGAGGAAGGUCCCCCACAUUGGAACUGAGACACGGUCCAAACUCCUACGGGAGGCAGCAGUGAGGAAUAUUGGUCAAUGGGCGAGAGCCUGAACCAGCCAAGUAGCGUGCAGGAUGACGGCCCUAUGGGUUGUAAACUGCUUUUAUAAGGGAAUAAAGUGGGUCUCGUGAGACUUUUUGCAUGUACCUGAUGAAUAAGGACCGGCUAAUUCCGUG